rnacentral:rRNA from 1 species
AGAGUUUGAUCCUGGCUCAGAAUGAACGCUGGCGGCGUGCCUAACACAUGCAAGUCGGAUGUGCCGCAAGGUGCAUGGCAGACGGGUGAGUAACGCGUAGGGAAUCUACCUUUUUGUGGGGAAUAACGCUCCGAAAGGAGUGGUAAUACCGCAUGAGACCGCAGACUGGGAUGUUUGUGGUGAAACCUGGGGACCGCAAGGCCUGGGGCAAGAAGAGGAUCCUGCGUCUGAUUAGCUGGUUGGCGGGGUAAUGGCCCACCAAGGCGACGAUCAGUAGCCGGCCUGAGAGGGUGAUCGGCCACACUGGAACUGAGACACGGUCCAGACUCCUACGGGAGGCAGCAGUGGGGAAUUUUGCGCAAUGGACGAGAGUCUGACGCAGCAACGCCGCGUGGGUGAUGAAGGUCUUCGG